AGAAUUUUAAGUUAAUUUAAACUAAUAGUUUUCAAAAUUAUAAAUAUGUAUACAUAUAUUUAAAUUCUA
rnacentral:tRNA from 1 species